rnacentral:tRNA from 1 species
GCGGGUGUGGCGGAACUGGCAGACGCACCAGACUUAGGUUCUGGCGCCGCAAGGCGUGGGGGUUCAAGUCCCUUCACCCGCACCA